GGUGUGUGUAAUUUAGCUCAAAGUGUGAGAUGCAGUUGUACGUGGUUGGAAUUUAUUAGGAGUACCAGGGCUCUGGUGUCUAAAAAGGCUUGACUACCCUUCAAUUGACCUGUCCACAUGUUGAAUUUGAAUGUUUGCUGAAAAAAGUGCGAGGGGUAAAUAUGUCAGGCAGGUUCCAAAAAGCACGUCAUAAAGCCUCUCUUUGUCACCUCUCAAAAAACGGAAGACCUGGAGAUGACCACACCAGAGAACUGUGUGUGAUCUGUGGAUUUGCACUCAGGGGUAUAGAUGUAGGAAAUGUCUCCUUCUCACUUAAUUCACAUCACUAUUUUACGAUGAGUAGCGCGGCAGCCUUUUCUGAACCAGCGCUGUGAGAUGUCUGUGUUUUUAUGUGCAAAUUGUUCCUGCGGCUUGGCUAUUUUGCGCGUAGUGAAAACAGAGCAGAGUGCAUACAUGGUGUAGUACAAGAUGUUUCCACUUUGGCCUUUUUUUAAAAAACAUCUUUAAAUUUGUACUGGUUUCAUUCACGGUUUCCUUUUUUCUUCUUAUUGUUCUUUGUGCAUGCUUGUUCUUGGGGGAAGUAGAAGGGGAGUGGGUUCCCCAGCAUAUAGAGGGAAAUUCCAACAGACCUCAAAUGCACGUCUCUGAAGACACUCAGCAUACUUAACACACUCUCUUUCUUUCUUUCUUCCUCCCCCUUCAGAGCCAGACACAGAGGAGACACCACCUUUGGCAAUCUGUCUGCGGUUUCCCGCCACUAAAGCCUUUCCACAGGUCGCCAGAGGCCGUGUGAGUGAGUGUGACACCAGGCAUCCUGGCCUGUCCUCCCCCCACAGGGGUGCUCCAGCAGGAGGAUCGCCCAGGCCCAAUUACAGUAAUCACCCCCAUCAAAGAGCACAUGUCACUGGAGGGAGCCACUGGCCGGCCACCACACCAUGCCAGCCAGAGGUGAGAGUGUCCCUGUCUGUGUGCGGUGAGUGGAAAUGUGUGUAUUUUGUGUGUGUGUGUUUCAUGAGCCUCUUUACAUCUGUAAAUAUUAUUGAGAGUCUUUCCUUUCCGAAUGUGCUAAAUGUUUAAUCGUCUGCAUGUACAAUUUAUUUUGGAAAUCACACGUUCUGUGGCAGGAGAAGCAUGGUAAGAAAAUACUGCAGAAACUGCCAUGAGCUCAAAGUGCCAGGAGCAGCAAACUCACAGAGCCACUCUCUUUGUCCUAGCAGGCACACGCACUGCUUUAUGCCUACGGUCUACCUGCAAGCCCUCACUGCAAAUUACCACAGCAGUCCUGUCCUUCCACAAGGAUUUACAGUUGCUGUGUCAGGACUUGUUACCCGCCCGGCAGUCUGAUGCUUACGGUUUGUUUUUAUAAGGGCUUUGCAUGUCCUGAGGUGUUAGUCAUGUCACCUGCCAUACAUGGUUUGUGUGACCUCGAGACCAUCUAUUAGACAAGAAGGCUAGACAUGUAAUCAGAUGAAAUGUUUGUAUAAUGUUGAGAUUUUGCAAUUUGCCCUUGUACAUCUGCAGGUUCAUUCAUUUAUACUGUAUUUAAGCAUUGAAGCAUUUUUAUGAAACUGAUGUCAAAUGCUUCACUAAGACCCAUAGGAUGCAGUGCAUUGCAAUGUUUCAUAAGUGAUGUAAAAACAAUUAUGGGGGGCUGGUAGCCACUGUUGGAAACUGUCAAGACAGGGAAAGAGAGGGUGACAGAGAAAUGUAGAGAGAGAGGGAGACAAAGUGAAAGACAAAGACCUUCCAUCAAAAUCAAGCUUCUCCAGGUUUCUGUGUCACCACCACCCAUCAAACUCGGUCUG
rnacentral:lncRNA from 1 species